CCUCACUCAACCUUUCUGUUUCUUUCUCCUCUAUCUUUUCCUCAUCUCUCUCUAUCUUAUCCUCAUCAACAACCUAAUCAAUUUGUGUCUCCAAAUUUCUGAAGGUAACUUCAUAGCUCUUAGAAUCGUAUUUCUCCAAAAAUUUGUCAAACUUUUAAUUAAAGCUCUUGACUUGUUCCGUCAAAUCAACUAUCUGAUAACAUAGUUGUUGAUUGUCCUCCCACAUUUCUGUUGGUAAAGAGAGUUGUUGUCGUCGUAAACAUUGUUCAGCUUCCCUUAACGUUUCUUUUCGC
rnacentral:lncRNA from 1 species